UGGAUAACAAAAACAGGCGAAACUACAAAAGUUUGCAAAGUACAAAAAGUGUCCAGGCUGCAACCAUUCUUAGCUAACAGGUCCGCUACUCCAUUAGCCUCUCUAAAGAUGUGCUUCAGCUGUAGAUCAUUCGCCUUCCGUAAUAGGUACCUGCAGUCAUCAAUUAAAUUUUGGUAGAGACAGUUAUUAGAUUUUAGGAGGUUUAAUAGUUCCAAGCAGUCCGUCUCUAUUACUAGUGGAAGGAGUUUUUCUGUUAGUGCUAGUUUGACUCCAUGGAGGAGGGCUAGGAUUUCCAUAUAUAUGUUAGUAACAUGGUUAAGACCCAUAUUGAACCCUAAAAUCCAACGACUUCUUUCGUCUCUAAACACCCCCCCCUAUUCCUCCCACUCCUGGGUUUCCUACGCAAGAGCCAUCGAUAUUCAGUUUGUAAAAGCUGGGGUUGGGUGGUUCCCAUCUUACAAAGAUAGUUUUCUUGGUAGGUUUUAAGCAACGGUUUUUUGCCAUGUAAAGGAAUUUCAUGGCCAUAUUAAUGGGUUGACUUUUGGUGAUGGGUGUUUUAAUUCCUCUAAAGAGGAUCCCAUUUCUGAAGUUCCAUAUAUACCAUAGGAGAAAUGGGAGAAAAUCUGACCAGCAUAGGUAAUUAUUAAAAAAGACCUUGGACAAGAGUUUGUUUUUAAGCCAAUUAUGAAGGGUAUCUUUUCCCCCGUGAUUCUGAGAGAACGAGUGUUUUGUAUUGAUUUGAUACCAGAUUUGUCUAGAGUAGUUGCAACGGAAGAAAAUAUGUUCUAUGUCCUCAGUUUCCCUGUUGCAAAUGUUACAAGUGUCUUCUUGGCAAAUCCAUCUUUUUUUUAGCAAAUCUUUAGUGGGUAGCCUAUCCCAAAAGAUUGUCCAUAAGAAAUUUUUUAAUUUGUUUAAAGAGUUGAUUUUCCAUAGCCAGGCUAAGUUUUUCCCGUUGCCUAUAGAUUCUGAGACAGCUUCAUAAGCAGCUUUAACUGAAAAGAAGUUGUGAUCCUUAGAGUUCCAAGUGUAUGAAUCUGUAGUGGGUCCGGUUUGUUUUAUGUAGGUGCAGUUUAUCUUAGAAACGAUAUCCGGGAGGAGUUCAAAGGAUAAGUUUCUAAGGUCGAACAUUCCAUUUUUAAUAAAGCAGGAGAGAUUUUGGUCAAGCUCUCCAGCUGGGAUAGGGCCUUGGAUGGAGUCCCUGAGUGUUCCUGAUUGAUUUAUCCAAUUAUCAUGCCACAGAUUAAUGGUUGUUCCAUCACCUACUAGCCAUUUAAUAUCGGCGUUGCAUAUUUCAGUAUCCUUUUUAAUUAUUUUCCAGGUGUGAGCACGUGAUUUUUGCUUCAUACGAAUUACUCCAAAAUAAUUCCAAAAAAAUUAGGUUUUGGCUUUGAUUAUUUGUUAUUUUUAGGAAUUAUUGCGUGAUUUUUCUGAUUGUUUGCAUAUGUUUGUGUGCAUGUUUAAUUUUAUUAAUGCAUUAAAAAUACAAAAAAUAUAGCAUUUGCAUUUAAGAUUUGAUUUUUUACAUUUUUGGAAUUAAUUAAUAAUUAGGUGUUUUACAAAAAUGAAAAUUCACAAAAAAAAAACAUAUUUGUAUUUUGGUCAAAUUGUGUGAUUUUCUUUUAAUUUAGUAUUGCAUUAUUUGUGAUAAUUCAGAACUUAAGAGAUUGUUAAAAAUAGAAACUUAAGGGUAAUAUUAGGGAUUGUUUAACAAAAAGGGUAUUCACCUAAUUGAGAAGCUUCUCAAUAGUGGUAGGGUUAGAAUUACACUAGCUAAUUUAAGUGGACAAUUAAGAAAUAAAAAGCUGAAAAUGAUAAUGGGAAUGACACUAAUUGAUUAAUUUAGAGAAAAUAAGUUAGUGGGGAUAAUUAAAAUAAAGAAAGGGACACUAGUAAUGGGGAUGGCAUUAAUUGAGUGCCUAUAAGAGGGGAAUUCGGAAGGAGAAGAAAAAAAGAGGGGGCGGAGAGAGCGGUAUACACUCAAUAUACACUCUGGAUACACUGGAUAUACAGGGGCAGAGAGCUAAGAAAACUUGGAAGAGAUUCUGAGAGAGGGAGACAAGAAAACAUUCUGAAAAUACUGGAAAAAAACUGGAAUUUACUGUUUCAUUGAUUUCUAUUUUCUGGUUUUCAAUUUCGAAUUGGCUGAAACCAUCUUCCAUAUAUUGUUUCAUUGAACUAUCUGGGGUUAAUAGCUGGAUUAAAACUGGGACUGUUUUGUUGCUGCUGGUGAUUGCUGUUGUUUUUACUUCUGAUCUCACUCCCUUUUGACUUUCAUUUCCAGGUAUUCCUUCAUACCCUUUUCUAACAAAUGAAGUGCCACAAGUUGGAACCAGAUUGAAUUUGUAUACAGAUUUGGAUGUUCGAAUUGGAAUUUGAAUAAGAGAC
rnacentral:lncRNA from 1 species